GUGGGGAAUAUUGGGCAAUGGGCGAAAGCCUGACCCAGCAACGCCGCGUGAAGGAAGAAGGUCUUCGGAUCGUAAACUUCUAUCCUUGGUGAAGAUAAUGACGGUAGCCGAGAAGGAAGCCCCGGCUAACUACGUGCCAGCAGCCGCGGUAAUACGUAGGGGGCAAGCGUUGUCCGGAAUGAUUGGGCGUAAAGGGCGCGUAGGCGGCCUGGUAAGUCUGGAGUGAAAGUCCUGCUUUUAAGGUGGGAAUUGCAUUGGAUACGGGCGGGCUUGAGUGCAGGAGAGGUAAGUGGAAUUCCCGGUGUAGCGGUGAAAUGCGUAGAGAUCGGGAGGAACACCAGUGGCGAAGGCGACUCACUGGCCCAAUACUGACGCUGAGGCGCGAAAGCGUGGGGAGCAAACAGGAUUAGAUACCCCUGUAGUCC
rnacentral:rRNA from 1 species